GUGGAGAAAGAAUAGACACCUCUAAAUUUGGGGCUGAUCCAGGCUUGGCAGCAGAAAAUAUUUCCUCAGAUGUGGAUGUAUCCUUGUCUAAAGAAACAACUUCUGCUCGAACCUACCGCUGCAAGAAAUGCCGGAGAGUUGUAGCACUGCAGGGGAAUGUUGUGGAUCAUGUUCCAGGAGAGGGCGAGACGGCAUUUGAGUGGCAUAAAAGGAGAAGUGGCAAUCCUUAUAAUAAACCUGACGAUGAGUGUUCAUCUGUCUUUGUUGAGCCUUUAAAAUGGAUGAGGACAGUUGAAGAAGGUGCCAUGGAGGGCAAGCUUUUAUGUGCGCA
rnacentral:misc_RNA from 1 species